rnacentral:rRNA from 1 species
GACGAACGCUGGCGGCGUGCCUAACACAUGCAAGUCGAACGGAACUGUUUUGAAAGAUUUCUUCGGAAUGAAUUUGAUUUAGUUUAGUGGCGGACGGGUGAGUAACGCGUGAGUAACCUGCCUUCAAGAGGGGGAUAACAUUCUGAAAAGAAUGCUAAUACCGCAUGACAUAUCGGAAUCACAUGAUUUUGAUAUCAAAGAUUUUAUCGCUUGAAGAUGGACUCGCGUCCGAUUAGUUAGUUGGUGAGGUAACGGCUCACCAAGACCGCGAUCGGUAGCCGGACUGAGAGGUUGAACGGCCACAUUGGGACUGAGACACGGCCCAGACUCCUACGGGAGGCAGCAGUGGGGGAUAUUGCACAAUGGGGGCAACCCUGACGCAGCAACGCCGCGUGAAGGAUGAAGGUUUUCGGAUUGUAAACUUCUUUUAU